CAAGAGCAUCAUCCUGUUUCCUUCAACCUUAAGAUCUUUUCGGCGCCCCUCUGAGGCUGGUGCCCUUGGCGGGGGCCAACCUCGCCAACCGCACGCUACGGCUCUGGUUAUAUGUAUCUUCUUAUUUUUUUGCCGUUUCCAUCGGGUACAGUUAACAUAAAAUUUCGGUUGAUUAGCAUUCUAGUAGUGGAAAUUUACAAACUUACUCUCCGCUUAUCACUGUGUGCUGGUUCAGUGGAUGUGAGAUCAUUCGAAAUUGUUGUUGUCAAUGCGAUGUAUGCGGUUUUCCCUAGAAUUCCACCCAUCUUUUCGAAAAGGUCAUUUCGUAUGUGGAGUUUGAGAUGAACCAAGUAUAUUCUUUAUUAGAAAGAUAUGACGAAUACUUACGAUACUGACAAAUAAAGUUAUCUUAAUUUUACUUGUUUAUAAUAAGAAAAAAAAUCUACCCUGAAAUUUAGCUCAAAAGACGCAAUUAGUGAAUUCCAAAAUUUCAAUAAAUACAAAAAAAAAAACAGAAAAAUUUGAUAUUCAUUAUGAAUGUAUUACGAAAUGUCCAAAAAAUGUACAUGUGAAUAUCACAGAAAAGACCUAAAAUUGAUCUAUGAGAUGAAUGAAUGGCAAAUGGCUUAUGCAUGGAGACGAAUUCCCCAGACUAUCUUCAAAAAAAAAAAAAAAAAACUCAAGGGUUUGCCACAGUACAGCUUGAAGGCAAUUACUUAUCACUGAAAGAAUCAUGGAACGGACCUUCCCGAAUGUUACUCUACUAUCGGACUGUUCUCGCCACUCUACGGAGUGUUUUGAACCGGCAAGCUGUGCGCAUCGUCACCUCGUUUCAUAUUUUCAGUUCGACUAGGACGCUGAAUGGAUCAGAAAGAUUUCCCGAAGUGUGAUGAAAAACAUGUUUGACUCGUACAUCGCAACGUGGGGUAUUGCCCUGUGUUUAUUUCUAUUCUUCUACGCCUGUGUGUUUUGUUUGAUUAAAUGUUUGGAAUCCAUUAUGCAAUCGGAGAAAAAGAAUCACACACCAAGACGCUCGACGAUGGUCGGUGUCCUCGUAACCGAAGGUGAGCUAGCGCAGGAACGGGAGCAGCUAGUACCCAAGAAGAAUGCCACAGCCAAUUUGCAAGCAUCAUCGGCAGAAGACAAUGACUUGGCGCAGCAAGAAAAGGAAACUCAAUUAUCGGAACAGUGUGAUAAUUUAAUGCAUUUGUUGGAGGGUAUUGGGGAAAAUAAAAAUUUUAGCAUUUAGCAAGUAGACAUGUGAACUGCGCCUCAACAUAUGUAUGCGAUUAAAUUUGAAGGAGAGUACUUCGUGGCCUUGGGGAUUCUCCAUGAAUCGAAAAAUUCAUGAUUCCAUGUUGAAAAACCCCAGUUAAUCCAACUAGCGGUGAUGGUGCCUUUCUCGUAACGAUUUCAUCCAUUUUUAACAAAAAUCCAUUUCACAAUUAAAAAUCAAGCUGCUUUGUUACUUUCCCAGCGAAAUAAACAGUGUACUUUACGUCCUACAAGCUGAACGAAGCAUUGUACAUUGCUUUGCUAGAUUACCAACCACAUUCAAUUGAAUAACUGAUCAAAGUCACAACGAGAUUUCGAUCGGUUUUGCAGUUGUAUGUAUUUUUCUGUCCUCCUGACGUUGAGGUAUUUUGUAUAGCCCACCUUUGUCUUUGUCCUUUGUCGAAUGUCAGACUUUAACAAAAAAAAAAAAAAAAAAAAAAAAAAAAAAAAAAAAAAAAAAAAAAAAAGCUGAAAGUCUCUCUAAUAAAGACAAAUUAAUCAAUCAAUCAAAAAUACAAAAAGUCAGCUGUUUUCCAAAUCCACGCAAUAUGGGUACAAUUAAUAUAAGAAUAAUGUCAAGACCAAGUGUCAAAGCAUACUAUUAUCGAAAUGAAUAUAUACAUGAUUGCAUGUACAAAACUUUUUUUGUUUGAAAGAAAUUUUCAAAAAUCUAGGUGGCAAUAUUCUUGCCACUGCCCGUUUGGGGUACUUUUCUUCAUUUGACUGAGGUCAAAAGUCCGGAAAGAGAUUUUUAAGCGAAUUAAGGCUUAACCCAUAAUAUUUCCUGCGUUUUUCAGCUCUCGUCGACCUAUAAUUUGAUUAUUUCCUAAAAUAUUUACUAAAUCAUCAGUUUUACAAUAAGUUUGAGUUAAUUUUCUUCACGCCGUCAAAUUUAGCCAUUUUCAAGUCUACAAACAGCUCCCAAAUUGUUAUUUAAGCUUUGUUCAGGACCUUGUUAUCAAACAGAAAAAAAAAAAUUGUAGGUGGCAAUAUAGUUGCCCCUAGUAUUGGACAAAUCUGGUUGAGACAUCGAUUUUUGUGAAUCGAUUCGAAUCGGAUCAGCAGAAUCGAUUCACCAAUUUAAUCGAAUGCUUUGAAUCGAUGUUUUCACAUCGAUUCGAUAAUAAAAAUAUUACAAAACUAUAAAAUGAUUCGUUUGCUGUAUGUAAUUCAAGUUCAUGGUAUGUUUUAUUUGUAUAAAUAAAUUUAAUAUCAAAAUUUGAGAUUGCAUGUCGAACAUUUCGCGACACUGAUUCGAAAAUGGAUAUAACGUUAAGACAGUGUAUUCUGAAAAAGAAAUGAUAUUUAAUAUUUUUGAAACGAAAGAAUAAUCCUGAGAUCCUGAGAUUCACCAGAACUCUGAGAAGUAUUCCCAUAUAGUACUGAGAUAAAGUCCCUGCUAGAGAAAUUGCCCCAGAAUCUUUGAAGAAACUCCUCCAGAAUUCUGAAAGGAGUUCCUCUAGAAUUAUGAGAGAGAUUUCUUCAGAAUGCUGAAAAUGAUUAGGGGAACAAAGCCCAAAAUGCCAACAUGGGGUAAAAUGACCCAACUCAUAAAACCAUUCGCCGAUGUGAUUUGACCAUUACUAUAGGUGAAUGGUGUCAAGAUAUGUUUACAUAAAACAUUCUUCUAGAAGCUAGGCCGCCAUACCCAUGGAAAAUCUUUCGAUUUCCCAAUGAAAACUGGCAACUUACGGUUGUUCGUGCUUGCAAUUAAGGUUUUCUGGUGAUUUUAUUACCAGCCAAGUGUUUCCAAGCAGAUUGAGGCACACAUGGAGGCGCAUGGUUGUUGAUGUCUACGCUUUUCAUGUUAGGGGUCAUUCAAAUAUGACGACCAUCGUUUAGCGGGGAGAGGGGUGACACUCCAUGUAUUGAGCAUACGAAAAAAGCGGACCAGAGGAGCAAAGGGAGUCAGAAA